GCCCUCAUAGCUCAAUGGAUAGAGCAUCUCACUCCUAACGAGAAGAUCUUGGUUCGAUUCCAGGUGAGGGCA
rnacentral:tRNA from 1 species